UAUAGAUAGCUUGGGCUGGAGCCAACAGCAAAUGUGCUCAAACAGGAACCUGAAAACCUGGGACUAUGGCAGAGGACCCUGCUGAGGUAAGAGGACAUCCAAUCACUUGGGAAAGAGAGUGGGAGAGAGUAUUGUCGGGAGUAAAAUAUUAUGGGACAAGGUAACAGCCGCAUGCUAUACGUACAGGCCCUCAAA